rnacentral:rRNA from 1 species
UGCAGUCGAGCGGCAGCACGGGUACUUGUACCUGGUGGCGAGCGGCGGACGGGUGAGUAAUGCCUAGGAAUCUGCCUGGUAGUGGGGGAUAACGCUCGGAAACGGACGCUAAUACCGCAUACGUCCUACGGGAGAAAGCAGGGGACCUUCGGGCCUUGCGCUAUCAGAUGAGCCUAGGUCGGAUUAGCUAGUUGGUGAGGUAAUGGCUCACCAAGGCGACGAUCCGUAACUGGUCUGAGAGGAUGAUCAGUCACACUGGAACUGAGACACGGUCCAGACUCCUACGGGAGGCAGCAGUGGGGAAUAUUGGACAAUGGGCGAAAGCCUGAUCCAGCCAUGCCGCGUGUGUGAAGAAGGUCUUCGGAUUGUAAAGCACUUUAAGUUGGGAGGAAGGGCAUUUACCUAAUACGUAAGUGUUUUGACGUUACCGACAGAAUAAGCACCGGCUAACUCUGGUGACC